UAGGAUUAUGGGAUAAGAGGGUGCACUAUAAAUUUCUUAAGAUGAAAGGGCAAAAACCAUAAGAGAGAAGCCAUAAUUAUGAUUACUUCAUCCCAAACGUUUUGAUCUUACUUUUUCUUUGCUUGGAACAAUUAAUUUUACGACAGAUGGGAAGGGAACUGGAGGAGAUACUAUGACAGCAGGGUGCACAUCAUCAGCUUGUUUAGUUUCUGGUUGUUGAUCCUUUGCUCAUAGACCAUUUCAUCCUCCAAACUGCAGUUUAUACACAGCUGAUAAAUCCAAAAGUGACAACAAAAUCGAAUGUGGUUACUAUAGACGAAGUAGAUGAUAGAAUUUACCUUUCUGUUUUUGAUGAAGCUGAAGCAGGCAGAAGCAUAUUGGCUAGUGUUGUAGCAUCUUUACUACAAACUAUAAAAGUGUGCAUGAACAGCUAAAAAAGGUUACAAAGUGUGCAUGAACAUCAUCUUUACUCAUAUUGGCUAGUGUUGUAGCAUAAGAAUGGUUACCUCAUCAUAAGUUUGUCACAAUGCUAAAAGAAUCUUUGUAAUCCAGUUAUUUGUUAGAUACCUCUAGAACUCCAUACAAGUAGCUACAAACUUGCAUUGUGACAAAACUAGAGAAUACCAAAUUGUUCCUUGCUUCGUUGUAUUUCAGGUGAAAUCCUAUCAAGAAAUGUUCUAAUGGAUAUAAAUUUGAUUUACCUUUGGUAGUUAAUUUGCUAAGUCAUGAAUAUUUUGAAAGUUUUUUCGAGUUAAGAUCUUAACAAACGCAAGUGAUGCUCUUCAUUGCCUCAAAUGCAUGUGUGUUAGACAAUUGAAUUAUCUUACUAGGCUACUAGCUGAGGAAUCUCAUUACAAUAUCAUGGAUGUAUGUCAAAUGACAAUUAACUUCAAAUUGUUGCAACAAUACCAUGAACUUAUAUGCUCUGUGUAUUAAGCUCUAACUUGUGUCCCCGUGCUUUUGGAUUUCCUCAAGUAUACUAAUUAUUAACGCUUCUACAGAUGUGGCACCUACAGUUCCUUCCUCUUCUGCUGCUGCUAACAUUGAUGAGGUUCAUGCAUUGGGUUCUGGCGAUGACCAUGACUCUCCAGCCUCGCAUAGUUAGCCUAUUUUGUUUAGACUUUAUAUUGUUGGUGCUUGUGGAUGUUUUGUACUUAACGAUACAAUUGUAUGCAUUAUACUAUAUAUUAUGGUCCUUGUUGAAUGUUAAUUUAUAUUAAUAUCUGUGACUUUAAUUAAGUAUAUUUAAUAGCAUUUAUGUAAUAUGCUUGAACAGGGUACAUUUAAAAUAAUAAAUAAUUUUUUUUAAAAAAAUUAGCGACAGAUAUGUUUCGUAGCUAAAAUUACAGCACUAAAUUAAAUAUUGCGACGGAUUGGCAACAAAAAAUUUUUAUCGCUGAAACCAGGAAGAACUAGCGACGGAUUGUUUCGUUGCUAAAAAGAAUAAACGACGAAUUUUGUUAUGAAGUGUAGCGACAAAAUUAGUCAAAAUAGCGAUGACACAAAGCAAAAUAGCGACGGAUAUUUUGGUCGCAAAAUUUGGCUACAGAUAUAUUUCAUCGCUAAUCCGUCGCUAGAUCUGCGACGAUUUUGUAUUUUUCGUCGCUAUGAGCUUAGCAACGAGCAUUUUAGCGACCAACUUGAAUCCGUCCUGAAUUCGUCGCUAAACUCUUUUAGCGACGGAAAUAACAUCUACAGUGACGGAAUACGUCCGUCGCUAACCGCUGUUUUUUUUGUAGUGUUGAAACUAUUAUUACUGGGAGUUUCCUGGCACCGGGCUUGGAAAAAGACCUGGAGAGACAUGUGAUAGGCUUCGGAAGUUCCCACACCUUCUGUUUCAACCUUCUAGACCUUUUCACAUCUGCCGUUGUGGGUUUGAAUCUAAGACCGAACGUACCCAAGUUUUCAGGGAGGGACACUGGUUGUAUGAUACCCUACAAGGAUGCACCCAGACCUUUACCUAGCACAAAGCUAUUUUUCAGCAUUUUAGAGGCCACCAUGAUGGAUGUAGAGGCUAUCUUUGGAGUUGGAACACGUUUCCCUUCUAGAACCUUCUCGACCGGUACUAUUUCAAAAACUUGAUAGACCUAAGGCCCUUUGUCAUCUUCAGCCUCAAUGAACGAGACGGAGGCAUCACUGUGAGCACACAAAUUCUCCUCACCAUGCACGAUGAUCUCCUGUCUAUCCCACUCGAACUUGACCAUCUGGUGCAAAGUGGACGGGACUGCCUUGGCGACAUGUAUCCAAGGCUGACCUAAUAGCAAAUUGUAAGAAACGGCUAUGUCCAGUACCUAGAAAUCCAUGGUGAAUUCCAUCGGUCUUAUUAUCAAUUGAAGCACUAUAUCACCAAUCGAGUCUUUUUCUCCACCGUCAAAACCUCGGACGCAUAUGUUGUUUUUGUGAAUUCUAUCAUCAUCAACUUUCAACUUGUUCAGAGUAGAGAGAGGGCAGAUGUUUGUACUGGAACCAUUGUCGACUAACACCCUGGUGACCAAGAUUCUUCACAUUUUACCGUAAGAUAGAGAGCUUUGUUGUGUUCAGUACCUUCCAUAGGCAAUUCGUCAUCAGAGAAGGUGACCAUGUUUACCUCAAAUAUUUUGUUGGCGAUCUUCUCUAGAUGGUUCACCAAAAUUUUGUCGGGGACACGAGCUUCGUUCAGAAUUUUCAUCAGGGCCCGACAAUGCUCAUCAUAAUGGAUCAACAAUGAUAGCAAGGAAAUCUGAGCGGGGCAUCUUUCUCAGCUGCUCCACGAUGGAGUAAUUUGUACCUUCAUUUUCCUCAAGAACUCCUUCGCCUCUUCUUCAGUGACUACUUUCUUUACCAGAACUGGAUUAUCUCUGGAUGUUUUAGUUUUCCUUAACUUUUCCGGGGCAAAACAUCUCCCCAAACGAGUUAAUCCCCGGGUUUCAUUGACUUCUUCUUUCACUUUCUUUACCUUAUAGGUCAUUAUCACCCAUUCAUAGUUCCAUGGGAUAGCCUUGGUGUUGAUUACCGCCAACUAGGUUAUAGGCUUGAUGAUGACAGGGUCCGUACGGGCACCUUCUACAAUUAUGAUAGGCUUAUUUGCCAACCCUAGCAAGACUACUUUUGACUUUUCUUGCUUUGCUACAACAUCACUUGGGGAUCUUUUCUCAACUACCACAGAUGGCUCACUGUUUGUCAUGCUCAACUUGUUCACUGAUCAAACAACCGUUGGUUUUUUGACUGGCUUGACCUUGCUAGACCAAAUCAUCAUAACGGAUUGUGAAGGCUUCUUGGGUUCCCCCUCCUUGUGUACUAUCUCGAUCAUGUUUGUUUCCUCAUGGGUUGGCAAUGGGUUCUGAUUGGUAUUGGGUGCCUCUGGAGUUUGGACUUCAAUUCGAUUUGUGUCGAUGAGCUCCUGGAUGGAAUUUUUCAAGUGCCAGCAUUUCUCCGUAUCAUGCCCCGGAGUACUAGAACAAUAUGCACAACUCAAGGAGUAAUCAAGAUUCUUUGGAGGAGGGUUUGGAAAUUUCAACUCAAUUGGCCUCAGCAUAUCCAACUGCCUCAAUCUUAGGAAUAAACUGGUAUAAGACUCCCUCAAUGGGGUGAAAGUUUUUUUCCACUACAACCUCUCAUUUUUGAACGCUGAAUUGGGUCGGAAACCCGGGCCGGUAGGGUUUCGGUAGGCUCAUGGGGGUGGGUAAGCAUUUUGUGGAGCUGGGUAGGUGUUUUGUGGGGCUGGGGCACUCCAUUGCGAGUAGGAAGGAGGUUGAGUAUAUGACUGGGCAUGGUGGACAGAAAUCUGGGGGUCUGGUGAUGAGAAGUAAUGCUGGGUUGGAUUAUAUGGGGUUUGGGUGUAGGUUCGGUGAUAGGGUCGAGGCUGAGUAUAAUGGUGUGAUGGGCCCGUGGGUCCAAACCAUGAUCCUAAAUCAACUGUUGCCACAUCUUCUUUCUUCUUCCUUCCGAUCACUCCUCCAGUAUCAUUCUAAAUGGCUUGGGUAGUUGCUUUGAUGGCUGAGUAGCUCAUGAGUUUGCUUGAUUUAAGCCCUUCUUCCACCAUGCCACCCAUCUUCACUACCUCGUUGAAACAUUUGCCUAUAGCUGAUAUCAGAUGGCCAAAGUAAGUAGGCUCCAAAGCAUGCAGAAAGUACUCCACCAUUUCACAUAGCACAUAGGAUGCAUCAGGAUGGUCUGUUAUUUUGAAUAUUUUCCUAGACGGACCCAACCCCUGUGUUGAGUCCCCUAAGUCAAAUGCACAUGAUGCAAACAAACGUUCCUACUAGGGAUCCGACAUGAGGCUGUGUUUUUCUAGGUUUAAAUCCUGGGGUUGUGUUCUAGACCUGGCUUACCCAAGCGGACAACUCGAGCCAAAGAGAGGGUAAUGUACUGGGAUCACUAAGUCUACCCGACCUCGUUGCUGGCCCAGCCCCGUUCUUAUUUGGAAUAACUUCUACAGAAAAAGAGGGUCACAUGAACAUGUGCACCAUUUUCAGAAGACUCAUAGGGGUGACAUAAGAAGGCAGUUAUAUACAAUUCAGACAAUAUUAAAGCGGUAAACAGAUAACAUUUAUCACAAAAGGUUCACAGAAUACAGUAAUAUUAACAAUAAAUGAAACCAAGUAAAAAUCAUAUUAACAAGUUCGAAUUCUUGAACCCUGAACCAGAUAUUCUGGGUCCGUUCCCCAGCAGAGUCACGAGAGCUGUCACACCUCCUUUUUACUACCCCCGUAAGGGCAUAUUGGAGUUUUUCCAAUUUAAGUGACAAUCAAAAUGAGAUUAUUUAUUCAGAUUCAGAGUCUCUACUUGAGAUAAUUAUGGUGUCCCAAGUCACUGGUUUAAAAUUCCGAAUCGAGGAGAUUUGACUCUGUUUUAAUGUCUGCGAAACACAAAAAUCCGGGUAAGGAAUUCUGAUAACCCGGGAGAAGGCGUUAGACAUUCCCAAGUUCUGUGGUUCUAGCACGGUCACUUUGAUCAUAUUUGGCUUAUUAAACUGUUUAACUACUCAUUUAAGAACCUAUGUACAUUUGCUUCUUUUAAUUAAGAAAUAUCUUUAAAUAGGUCAUGCGUACGUGUACCCAUUUGCUUGGCGCGUCAAAACCUAUGUCACGUGUACAUGUCCACAAUUAAUAACGCUUUGUUAAUAUUAAGAAAUUUUAGUCGAAGUUGCGCGAACGCAUACCCCGAUUUUGUUUUUAAGAUCAUAAUUAGGUCACGCGAACGUGUACCCAAUCACGACAAUAUAUUAAAUCAUGCCUAAAGAAAGCCACGAUUAUUCAUGGAUUAUUUAUUCUAAAAAUAGUUAAGGUCAUUGAGAGAUCAUGAAUAUAGUUCCAUGAUUCAUUUAGGACGUAAUUCAUGAGAAACACAUUUGGCUUUAUACGAGCAGAAGAGCUGAAACUAACAAUUACAAAAAGUGUACCUUCAUAAGCUUAACAUCAUGAAUAAGACAAAAGGAAUCAAACAAGAUGAGAUCAAAAAAACUGAUAUUAAAUGCUAACUAAGGAAAAACAAAAUCUUAAGCUUAAUAUCACUUAAACUUAAGCAUAUUUGUCCAAAUUUAAGGAUUGUUACAUGAAUAGAUUCAAAUCUGAGAAAUCAAAGAGCCAUUAUUUAGUUAGCCGAGAGACGCGGAAUUUUAAUCUUGUGAUGAAGCUCAAUCCAAGCAUCCAAUUGAUUAAACCCAAGUCAACAAUGAACAGAGAUUAUCCUAAAAACCUUCAUGCUAGUCAAGAUUAACGUUAUAGAACACAGAUUGUCAACAACAAAAUCUCAGCAUGAGGAUAACAGUCAUAUCAAUAACAUAAUGAGCAAAAUAAAUACAUGUUAUCUUAGAUAAACAAAUGAAGCAUUUACCCAAUCGAUAUAACAAAUCGGUACAAAAUGAAACUUCAAAUACAGACCUUAAGCAGCUAUAAAUUUCUUCAAUACUUGACUAAAUACAGAGCCUCCAACGAACUGAAACUCGGCAACUCAAAUGGAACCUCCGAUCUAGACCUCAGAAACUCGCCGGAAUCGUGACAAAAUACAACAACAAUAGUGGUUGAAGCUCUCCUUUCGGAAGUGUCGCUGCUAGUCAUUUUUGGUGAAGUAGGGGUGUCCAAGGUUAAAGAUCGAGAAUGAGAUGGGCGGUAGAUAUGGAGGGGUGGCGUUGGUGGCAUUAGGUUGCUGAGUUUUUUGGGUGGAAAUGGGGCCGUUUAGUAUGAGGUGGGGCGCUGGUUUUUGAUUAGGCUUGCUACUGAUCCCUCUUCUUUGUUAGAAUUGGCAUGGAGAUGAAGAAGCAGGGGUCUCUUAUUGUAUUUAUGUAUGUAUUAUCGGUGAAGAAGAAGCCACGCUGGGGGGUUUCGAUUUUGGAGCUUGUGUGGCUGAUUUCUGUUAGCUAGAUUAGGGAUUUCUAGGUUAGAAUACUAAAACCUGAAGGGAACUACUGGAAAAUCUAUCUCCAUGAAGAAGAUGACGUUUUGGUGGUGGUGGUGGUGGUGGUGGUGGUGGGGGUCUCUUGACUGAAAACGGCACUGAUGGUUGUAGGGUCUUAGAGUCUAGGUUAUUUUUAGACUAGUUUUUGGUUAUAUAUAAAGGUUUUUAGGUAAAGGGGGUAUGGGUUUGGUAUUAUUGGGCCUUAAAAUUGGGCCAAAGACUAAAAAAAUAGACUACAAGAUUAAAA
rnacentral:lncRNA from 1 species